rnacentral:rRNA from 1 species
AUUGAACGCUGGCGGCAGGCCUAACACAUGCAAGUCGAACGGCAGCACAGAAGAGCUUGCUCUUUGGGUGGCGAGUGGCGGACGGGUGAGUAAUGUCUGGGAAACUGCCCGAUGGAGGGGGAUAACUACUGGAAACGGUAGCUAAUACCGCAUAACGUCGCAAGACCAAAGUGGGGGACCUUCGGGCCUCACACCAUCGGAUGUGCCCAGAUGGGAUUAGCUAGUAGGUGGGGUAAUGAUUCACCUAGGCGACGAUCCCUAGCUGGUCUGAGAGGAUGACCAGCCACACUGGAACUGAGACACGGUCCAGACUCCUACGGGAGGCAGCAGUGGGGAAUAUUGCACAAUGGGCGCAAGCCUGAUGCAGCCAUGCCGCGUGUAUGAAGAAGGCCUUCGGGUUGUAAAGUACUUUCAGCGGGGAGGAAGGCGGUGAGGUUAAUAACCUUGCCGAUUGACGUUACCCGCAGAAGAAGCACCGGCUAACUCCGUGCCAGCAGCCGCCGUAA